AUGUCCUCCUCCUCCGCUGUUCCCUCCUCCGGCCUAAACUACAACAUCUCCGAGCCUCUCACUAGGACAAACUAUGUCCUUUGGUGAGCUCAAGCCCGAUCCCAAAUACUGGGCGCCGGCCUGUAUGGCUAUGUCGACAAAACCAUAGCGGAGCCUCCCAAGAUCAUCAUCGCCAAGGAUAAAGAUGGCAAGGAUCAGGAGAUGUCGAACCCUGCCUAUGCCCCCUGGCUAGUCCAGGAUAAACAAAUGGUUGCCUACCUUCUCCGAAACCUCUCCAAGGAGGUCCUCGUCCAGGUGGCUUCGCUGGAGACCUCGCAUGCAAUAUGGACGGCGCUCUCCAACAUGUUUGCUGCGGUCUCCCUCUCUCGCGUCAACAAUCUUCGUGCUGCCCUCACCAACGCCCAAAAGGGCACACAAUCUGCCUCAACAUACUUCGGCUAUAUGCGUUCCCUCUCUGAUGAGCUCGCGGAGGCGGGCAGACCUCUCGGAGAGCCGGAACACAUCUUGUUCAUUGUCGCGGCCUUGAUAUGGAUUACCCGCCACUUAUCUCCGCGCUUGAUGUCCGCACUAAGCCCAUCACGGUCGAUCUCCUUUUCUCUCUGCUGGCCAAUUUUGAUCAGCGGGUCGAACUGUACCACGACAACAGCGGAGGCGGGAUCAAAUCCUCAGCGAACUCUGCCUCCCGAGGCAGGCAGGGAGGCAGAGGUGGCUAUCGCAACCAAAAGAGCGGCUGUCACGCCCAAUAUGCGACCCUAUCCUAAAGGAACUCGAAGGUCCCACCAAGGAUAG
rnacentral:rRNA from 1 species